rnacentral:rRNA from 1 species
CACAGGGGAUGCAAGCGUUAUCCGGAAUUAUUGGGCGUAAAGCGUUCGUAGAUUGUUUAAUAAGUCUUUUGUUAAAUCUCUUGGCACAACCAAAAAAAAAGCGAAAGAUACUGUUUAACUAUGAGUAUAAAUAGAGCAAAGGGAAUUUCCAGUGAAGCGGUGAAAUGUGUAGAUAUUGGAAGGAACACCGGUAGCGAAAGCGCUUUGCUAGUUUAUAACUGACAUUGAGGAACGAAAGCUAAGGGAGCAAACGGG